rnacentral:tRNA from 1 species
GGGCUCGUGGUCUAGCGGCUAGGACGUCGCCUUCACACGGCGGAGAUCAAGGGUUCGAAUCCCUUCGGGCCCA